UGAGGACUGGUCUGACAAAGCUCCUCACUUUGCCCUCACUUUUCUCCUGGGCCUGCUGCAGCAGAAAGGCACAUGGUGAGACCUGGGUGUGCUUCUAGGGGUGUGUCCUGCCUAACCUGCACCUUCCUGGCAGCAGGGCUGCCCUUGGGACAGCACUCAGUGGUGUUUGUCACCUUCUGUGCGGAUUGGUGGCCUGGCGAGGCAUUGAGGGCUGCAGUAAAUAGCUCUGGAGUAAGUGCAGAUGGAGUGGGACAUGAAAAGUACAACUUGUUACUGAAUUACACAGGGAAUAUGGAGGAAUAAAAGGUAGAUGAACUCUUCAACAACCUGAAUCAUGUUCCACAUCUUUCUGGAGAAUUUGCAUGUGGUUGCAAUUUUCUCAUAGCAACUGCUCUUCAGGAGCAAUUUCUUCCCUCUUUGCCUGUUUAUGCUUUAGGAAUCCUGGCUUCAACUCUGUUGCAGUCAUUGAUUAUCUUCUCUGGUUUCGAUGGGGUAAGGGUGUGAUAGCACUGUGCCUAAUGUGCCAAAUGCUGCUCAAGGAAUAUGCCUUAGACCAUGCAAACAACAAAAGAUAAACCUUGACCCCACUGACUGGUCAGGACUUGGCAUUUCACUCCUGGUUUACCUUGUCCUCUUUAGCAUAAUUCCAGCUUUGGAGCCCCACACAAGACUUUGCUGCUGCUUCUUAUUCCUUCUUCAUACAUCUUUUGGGAGGUGGAGUUGAACUCCCUUCCAUCAAAAGCAUAUGGUUUCUGGGUUGGAUACUCAGACUAAAGCUUCAUGCUGGUUAACAGUGUACUGAUAAUUGUAUAUGUGCAUAUAUAUAAAUAUAUAACUUUCUAUGUGAUCUUUACAUACAUACUUAUUAAUUUUAUAUGUAUGUAUAAGUCUAGAAAUAAGAUAUAUCACAUAGCCUGCACUCUGGAGAUUAGCUUGAAAUAAAU
rnacentral:lncRNA from 1 species